AUAAAAGGACGACACAUGAGCUACAAAUUCGCAGGGCCUUUAGCAAAAGUGGGACAUUUCCACUGAUGCCGUCAUGACAUUUCUCAUUAUAGUUCAGUAACAAAGGCUGUGAAUCUAUUCUCGCACAUUUCCUGUCUAUCCUUGGUCUUCUUCCGCCCUCCGUUCACAUCUCUCUCGUUUUUUUUUCCCCCUCCCUCCCUGUCCCUGGCUCUCUCUUCCAGGGCUGCAGACUGCCAGACCGGAGGUCGUUGGCAGAGGAAGUAGAGCAGGGACGCAGCUGGGUAUAGUUGGUGUGGAUGUGUGUGUGUGUAUGCGUGUGCGUGUGUGUAAUUGAGGGACGGAGGGACGGGAGAUGAGGAAAGGAGGGCCGCAGGGAUGGCGGUGCAGAGCAGACAGACGCUGCUCAGACACCAGAAGGCUUGAGGAACCACAUAUUUUUAGCCACAUCCCCGGGGGACACAGAUGUCCUAGCACUGUCUCAGGCACACCCUGCCGAGAGAAGUGUCCCAAUAUUCCUCUUCAUGAGUCAUGAGGCACGAGUGCAGGGGACGCCGGGACGCCUCAUCUAUUAAGCUGUUGGGGGACUACACUGCUAGAUCUUGACCUCAGAGCUCACAAGAAACUACAAGUACAUACCAGUAGGUGGAUUGAUGAUCAGAAAUUGGACUCGGGUGUGACUCAGUGUGUAAGAGGUGUUGUGAUGGACUCGUGUCUAAUGCAGAGUGUAUUCCUACAUUACAUUUAUGACUCCCUUAUCCAGAGCAAUUUACAAUUAUUUCAUUUAUAUAACUUGAGCAGAUGAGGGCUAAGGGCCAUGCCCAAGGGCCCAUUAGUGGCAGCUUGGUGGUGCUGGGAUCUUGAAUUUCCAAUCAGAUGUACAAAACUUUAACCACUGAGCUACCAUUUCCCAUAUUCUUACCAUGCCCUCAGUAUUCCCAGGAUAUCUGCUCUGGUUCCACUACAAUUAUAGCCAUGUUAACGCAUUUACAGAAGAUGAAUGUUUAUUGAGUAUACAAUAGGUUCCAGAAAGGUUAGAUUGCAACAUUUCAUCCAUGUUCUAGAUUUAGUGCUGCACUAAAAAAAUAAAAAUAAUAAAAAUGUUCACUUUUUUAUUAGACUUUUUUUCCAGCCAUUUGUAAUUCUUUACCACAAAGUUAGAGGCACAAAUUUGUAUUGGAUGUAUUUGGAUUCCCUUCACUUGAACUAGAGACACAAACCUAUUUCAGCAUGACAGUGGACAUCGACUGGACUCCAGGCCUCCUUACUUCACCAACAUUCAUGCCUGACUUCACCCUUGUGAAUGAAUGAGCAAAAAGCCUAAACAAAGCACACUCCAAAAUGAAGUGGAACAUCUUCCCAGAAGAGUGGAGAUUAUUUUAAUAGCAAAUAGGGACUUAAUGUGAAAUCGGCGGUUCAACAAGCACAUACCAGUCCUACCGUCAGAUGUCCACAAACUUUUGUCCAUAUAGUCCAAGUCCAAAUGUUUUUUUUUUUUAAGAUUAUGGUUUAUGAGCAACAUGUAAAUUCAAGUAUUAUGCACUAAACAUGCUAUAUCUCAA